rnacentral:ncRNA from 1 species
UAUCUGGUUGAUCCUGCCAGUAGUCAUAUGCUUGUCUCAAAGAUUAAGCCAUGCAUGUCUAAGUAUAAGCACUUGUACUGUGAAACUGCGAAUGGCUCAUUAAAUCAGUUAUCGUUUAUUU